UAGGGAAUCUUCCGCAAUGGGCGAAAGCCUGACGGAGCAACGCCGCGUGAGUGAUGAAGGUCUUCGGAUCGUAAAACUCUGUUAUUAGGGAAGAAUAAAUGUGUAAGUAACUAUGCACGUCUUGACGGUACCUAAUCAGAAAGCCACGGCUAACUACGUGCCAGCAGCCGCGGUAAUACGUAGGUGGCAAGCGUUAUCCGGAAUUAUUGGGCGUAAAGCGCGCGUAGGCGGUUUUUUAAGUCUGAUGUGAAAGCCCACGGCUCAACCGUGGAGGGUCAUUGGGAACUGGAAAACUUGAGUGCAGAAGAGGAAAGUGGAAUUCCAUGUGUAGCGGUGAAAUGCGCAGAGAUAUGGAGGAACACCAGGGGCGAAGGCGACUUUCUGGUCUGUAACUGACGCUGAUGUGCGAAAGCGUGGGGAUCAAACAGG
rnacentral:rRNA from 1 species